rnacentral:rRNA from 1 species
AGCUCCAAUAGCGUAUAUCAAAGUUGUUGCAGUUAAAAAGCUCGUAGUUGGAUCUCGGGAGCAGGCGUGCGGUCCGCCUCGCGGUGGUUUUACUGCGCGUUCCUGCCCUACUACUGCCGGACGUCCCUCGGUGCCCUUCGCUGGGUGCCGUGGGUGGCCGGAACGUUUACUUUGAAAAAAUUAGAGUGUUCAAAGCAGGCAUUUCGCCCUGAAUAAUGGUGCAUGGAAUAAUGGAAUAGGACCUCGGUUCUAUUUUGUUGGUUUCCGGAGCUCGAGGUAAUGAUUAAGAGGGACGGCCGGGGGCAUUUGUAUUGCGGCGUUAGAGGUGAAAUUCUUGGAUCGUCGCAAGACAAACCACAGCGAAAGCAUUUGCCAAGAAUGUUUUCAUUAAUCAAGAACG